rnacentral:misc_RNA from 1 species
UUUCCGUAGGUGAACCUGCGGAGGGAUCAUUACCGAGCUAAUGCUCUAUGGGUUCGACCUCCCACCCGAGGUUAUUAUUACUUUGUUGCUUUGGCGGGCCGUUAGACUCCGGCCCGACUACCGGCCCCCGUUGGCCCGCGCCCGCCAGAGGACCCAAAACCCUGAAUAUUAGUGUCGACUGAGUGCUAUAUAAUAGUUAAAAUUUUCAUCAACGGAACUGUUGGCUCUGUCAUCGAUGAAGAACGCAACAGAUCAGAAGGGCACAGGUCAGAACUCCAG